rnacentral:tRNA from 1 species
GCCUCGAUAGCGCAGUAGGCAGCGCGUAAGUCUCAUAAUCUUAAGGUCGUGAGUUCGAUCCUCAACAGGGGCA